ensembl:lncRNA
CGAGGCUCCAGCCGGGUCCUCGCCUCGCGGACAAGCGGAGCCGUGCGUCCACAGAGUUCCGGCUGUUCCUCGGCUCCACACAGCCCGCCAAGUUCCUCUCUCCAUGCGAUUCUCCAGGCAAGAAUACUAGAGUGGGUUGCUGUUUCCUUCUCCAGGGGAUCUUCCCGACCCAGGGAUGAAACCUACGUCUGUUAUGUCUCCUGAAUUGGCAGCGUGUAGAAGUCAACAUGUUCCUGGCUGGGGCUGGAGGCUCAGGCUUUGGCCUUACCUAAGCCUAAGGCAGCGACCGAGAGCGCCAGGCUGCGAUGGCACAGGAGCGGCUGAGAGGAGCUAC